UACGGAGGGUGCGAGCGUUAUCCGGAAUCACUGGGUUUAAAGGGUGCGUAGGCGGGUUAUUAAGUCAGUGGUGAAAUCUUGUCGCUUAACGAUAAAAUUGCCAUUGAUACUGAUGAUCUUGAAUUGGGUUGAGGUUAGCGGAAUGUGACAUGUAGCGGUGAAAUGCAUAGAUAUGUCAUGGAACACCAAUUGCGAAGGCAGCUAGCUGGGCCUUGAUUGACGCUGAGGCACGAAAGCGUGGGUAGCGAAC
rnacentral:rRNA from 1 species